UGGGGAAUAUUGCACAAUGGGCGCAAGCCUGAUGCAGCCAUGCCGCGUGUAUGAAGAAGGCCUUCGGGUUGUAAAGUACUUUCAGCGAGGAGGAAGGCAUAAAGGUUAAUAACCUUUGUGAUUGACGUUACUCGCAGAAGAAGCACCGGCUAACUCCGUGCCAGCAGCCGCGGUAAUACGGGGGGUGCAAGCGUUAAUCGGAAUUACUGGGCGUAAAGCGCACGCAGGCGGUUUGUCAAGUCGGAUGUGAAAUCCCCGGGCUCAACCUGGGAACUGCAUUCGAAACGGGCAAACUAGAGUCUUGUAGAGGGGGGUAGAAUUCCAGGUGUAGCGGUGAAAUGCGUAGAGAUCUGGAGGAAUACCGGUGGCGAAGGCGGCCCCCUGGACAAAGACUGACGCUCAGGUGCGAAAGCGUGGGGAGCAAACA
rnacentral:rRNA from 1 species